GCCCGUCUAGCUCAGUCGGUAGAGAGCAAGGCUCUUAACCUUGUGGUCGUGGGUUCGACCACGACGGUGGGCG
rfam:Naegleria gruberi genomic scaffold NAEGRscaffold_49, whole genome shotgun sequence.